rnacentral:rRNA from 1 species
UAGGGAAUCUUCCACAAUGGACGCAAGUCUGAUGGAGCAACGCCGCGUGAGUGAAGAAGGUCUUCGGAUCGUAAAGCUCUGUUGUUGGUGAAGAAGGAUAGAGGCAGUAACUGGUCUUUAUUUGACGGUAAUCAACCAGAAAGUCACGGCUAACUACGUGCCAGCAGCCGCGGUAAUACGUAGGUGGCAAGCGUUGUCCGGAUUUAUUGGGCGUAAAGCGAGCGCAGGCGGAAUGAUAAGUCUGAUGUGAAAGCCCACGGCUCAACCGUGGAACUGCAUCGGAAACUGUCAUUCUUGAGUGCAGAAGAGGAGAGUGGAACUCCAUGUGUAGCGGUGGAAUGCGUAGAUAUAUGGAAGAACACCAGUGGCGAAGGCGGCUCUCUGGUCUGCAACUGACGCUGAGGCUCGAAAGCAUGGGUAGCGAACAGGAUUAGAUACCCUUG